rfam:Schistosoma rodhaini strain Burundi genome assembly, scaffold: SROB_scaffold0006193
AUCCCUCUGAUGAUUCCCGAAUAGGACGAAACGCGUGUCCUGGAU